rnacentral:misc_RNA from 1 species
GUUUUUUUUAAUAAAAAAAAAUGUCAUCCAUAGUCAUCUUUUGGGGUGUGCAGGCGCAGCCAGAGCCGCUCCCACAACCACCCCACACAACACUCACAGUGCACAGUGGUAUACAGACCCAAAGGGCCCAUACAUACAAAUUAUCAAUGAUCCUUCCGCAGGUUCACCUACGGAAA